GGCAAGUUGUUUUGUCUGUUAUUUUGUUUAUCAUUGUCUCAGGGUUUACUUUCGUUCCUUGAUCUUUCAAACCUGCCGGAAUCUAUACCGAAACUACCUCAAGUAUAGUUUCGGUUUCUUUGCAUGGGCAGCGCUUUGAAGUAAAACCGGUAAAACCGUUAAACCGGCCGGCCAAGACAAUCCAUCUUUUCAAAGGCGUCGCAGACUCGCAGUUUCAUCUGGACGUGUCGUUUGGACGUGUUGACGGAUUUAAAGGUUGUCCCUCGCUGCCACCCCUGUGCAGAUGUCAAUCAUGUGCUGCAUAUCGGUUGAGGACUCUGCGAGGAGCACCACAUCAUUCGCAAAGGCCAGGCAUGGGAUGCGCGUGUAUUCUUCCUGUCUGUCCUUGGUCGUAGUGCUCAAGCCCAACCCUGCCCCUUCCUCCUCCAGAUGUUUGAGAUGUUUGAGAAGGUCGUUUGUGUACACAUUAAACAGUGUUGGCGAUAGGGGACGCUCCUGUCUCAGUCCAAUACUUAUUGGUACUGGUUUUGAUUUGUAGUUUUCUAAUGUGUACCAGGCCUCGCAACCCCUGUACAAGCUCUUCAGGUGUUCGACACUUUCCUUUUCGAGUCCGCUUUUCUACAUCUUAUCCCAUAAUCUUUGGUGUGGUACUGCAUCAUAUGCUUUCUCUAGGUCUAGGAAUCCCAGGAACAACUGGUAGUUUUGGAUGUUUUUCAUUUCUAUGGCUUGGGAUUAACGUAAAUAGGUUAUCGCUUGUUCUUCUGUUUUGCCGAAAGCCAUUUUGAGCUUCUACGAAAAAGUUGUUUUUAUCAUACAAGAUCUGUAGCCUGUGGUUUAUUAUGCUUGCAAAUAAUUUGCAGACUGCUGAUUAUUGCGAUUGGUCAAUAGGCAUUGAGGUCUUUUGGGUCUGCUUGUUUCCCUUUAUAUAGGAGCUUUACUCUUGCCUGUUUCCACACUUACGGUAUUUCUGUUGACACCAGGCGUUCAUUAAAACAUGUUCUGAGGUUGUUUGCUGCUUCUUUUUUAAUUGCCUUCAGGAACUCGUUCGGAAUAUCAUCUAUACCGGUUGCCUUCUUGUUUUUCAGUCGUCUUAUUUGCCUCUUCAUUUCCCCCGUGGUUAUAGGAUCUAGUAUGGAAUGCUUCUGUAUUUUGCGUUUUCCCAAAGUUUCUUUUUGACUGUAUGUCUCUUCCGGGGUUUGCUUCAGUUUUUUGUUGUUGCUGUAAGAAGUACUCAGUCAUCCAUUCUUCUAUUUCGCAUUUUUCUUUCAGGUCUUUGCCCCCUCUUUGCAGCAUACGUGUCUGUUCUUUCUUUUUUUCUGCAUGCAUUGUAGUAAUUUGUCUCCAGAAUGUCUCGUUAGAUUUUUUCCCCUUUUUCAGUAUGUCUUCCUCUGUCUUUCUGCAGAACUGUUGAAUUUUUGUGGCCACUAUACUUUGUUUCACCUUGUGUUGUACCGCAGGAAAGGCUACAAGCGCGAGCUCCUUGCUCAAUGGCACACCUCGGCGGCACAAGCUCUCGUGCACCAAGGGCAGCUGCCAACGCUAUGAGCUCACACUUCUAGCCUUCGCUGCGGUACAACAUGAGGUGAAACGGGGUAUAGUGCCUUCACUCGAACUCUUUGUUCUUCAAAACAUUCCCACAGGUAGUCUUGGGUGUAGCCUUUUCGUUGUGCCCACCUGUGCUGCCUGUUGAUCUCUCGUCUUCCCAAUUUCCUCCUUUACCUCCUGUCGAACCAGGGCCUUCGGUUUUAUUGUUUCCCUUUCCUGGUUUUUUCCACUUGUUCUUUGGCUGUUUGGGUAAUUAGGCUCAUUAGUUCUUCAUAUGUGUUGUCUUUUGUAAUUUUUUUCUCCAAUUCUGAUGCAAAUUUUUCUAUUUUAUGUUCUGCUCCUAGCUUCCAGUGGUUUUCCUGGAUGUUUUUAUUUUUUUCUGUCUUUGGUUGUUGGUGUUUAGUUUUAGCAGUAUUCUGUUAUAAUUGCUUGCACAGCUGCUUACCUUGCUCUCGUCUAUGUGUAUAGCAUCUAGAUGUUUUCUUUGCCUGCCUCGUCGUUUAUGAGGAUAUAGUCAAUUGUUGAUUUUUGGUUGUUGCGGCUCCAGGUUGUUUUUCCCUUGCAUUGUGGCUCCAGGUUAACUAUAGUUAAAGGAGGGGGGUUCAACAAUUUUAUGGUUAAAAGAAUUUGCAUCUCCUCAUUUUUACGCUGUUUAUCGUGCCCCGGGGGAUAGAGAAACCAUUUCCUUCCUUCAAAAUGUUGCGAUUCCGCUGCAUAAUUGCAAAGCAAAAGCCGAGCUUUUUCCCCCACUUGCAGCCGCAAGUGGCAGCCGGAGGAACUACGGCUAGAAGAUUACGUGACUUCGCUCGGCUCUAAGCUGCAGCCUAACGCCCGCUAUUGUCAGCAGAGAGAGGGAGAGGAAGUGUCCUCCGAGACAGCACACGGGAACCCACACGGCACUCCGAAGGACGUCACUAGGAGGGGGACCCGGUGUGACCCUGAAGACUGGAAGACUGGUUUUCCUGACUCAGCUGGCUUGUCUGGCAGCUUGCAACCUAUGGGAACCUGAGGAACUGCAUCACAAGAGUGAAAGGGACGCCCACCUAGCACUUCUUCGAGGAUGGUGCCUUGAAGAAGGGAGGACUGCGCCUAAAGUGAAUGCUAUGGCAGGCAAUGUGCUGAGGCUUGGGCCAUGUGGAACUGGAGGCAGCCAAGUCAUCAAAGAAGAUAGGACUUCGGCUCAUUCAGAAACCAUGUGAACUACGGCACAAGAGGCCCAGGGCACCGGAACAGCUGGCUGAAUAAACAGCUAAGCCUUUCAAACAUUGAAGUGUGUGCUAUCCCAAGGGGAGUAGUUUGAAGGGGAUUAGAGUUUUAGACCUCAAGGCAAAUAAAUGUAUUUUUUCCUUCCAAA